rnacentral:rRNA from 1 species
GCGGGGAGUGGCGCACUGCUCAGUAACACGUAGCUAACCUAACCUCAAGACGGAAAUAACCCCGGGAAACUGGGGUCAAUGUCCGAUAGAUGUGAAUUCCUGGAAUGGUAUCACAUCCAAACGUCAACACACCAUGUUGUGCGAACGCUUGAGGAUGGGGCUGCGGCCGAUCAGGCUGUUGGUGGGGUAAUGGCCACCAAACCUUUGACCGGUAUGGGCCAUGAGAGUGGUAGCCCAGAGAUGGACACUGAGACAAGGGUCCAGGCCCUACGGGGCGCAGCCGGUACGAAACCUCCACAAUGCACGCAAGUGCGAUGGGGUUAUCUCGAGUGCUAUCUGAAAAAGGUAGCUUUUCCAUGGUCUAAAUAGCCGUGGGAAUAAGGGGGGGGCAAGACUGGUGUCAGCCGCCGCGGUAACACCAGCCCCCCGAGUGGUAGGGAUGUUUAUUUGGCCUAAAGCGUCCGUAGCCGGCUAAGUAAAUUUCUCGUUAAAUCCAACGUCCUAAGCGUUGGGCUGCGAGAAAGACUGCUUAGCUAGAGGGUGGGAGAGGUCAGCGGUAUUCCUGGGGUAGGGGCGAAAUCCAUUGAACCCAGGAGGACCACCAGUGGCGAAGGCUGCUGACUAGAACACGCCUGACGGUGAGGGACGAAAGCUGGGGUAGCGAAUCGGAUUAGAUACCCGAGUAGUCCCAGCCGUAAACGAUGCAGACUAGGUGUUGGGUUGGCCACGCGCCGACUCAGUGCCACAGGGAAGCCAUUAAGUCUGCCGCCUGGGAAGUACGGCCGCAAGGCUGAAACUUAAAGGAAUUGGCGGGGGAGCACCACCAGGCGUGAAGCCUGCGGUUUAAUUGGAGUCAACGCCGGGAACCUUACCGGGAGCGACAGCAGAGUGAAGGCCAGGCUAAAGGUCUUGCCAGACGAGCUGAGAGGAGGUGCAUGGCCGUCGCCAGUUCGUGCCGUGAGGUGUCCUCUUAAGUGAGGUAACGAACGAGACCCGCGCCGCAUGUUGCUAACAAGUCCUAAAGGGAUGUUGAGCACUCUUGCGGGACCGCAGCCGACAAGGCUGAGGAAGGUGCGGGCAACGGCAGGUCAGUAUGCCCCGAAUCUCCCGGGCCACACGCGGGCUGCAAUGGUAGAGACAGAGGGCUGCAACCCCGAAAGGGGAAGCCAAUCCCUAAACUCUACCUCAGUUGGGAUUG